rnacentral:rRNA from 1 species
UACGAAGGGGGCGAGCGUUGUUCGGAUUUACUGGGCGUAAAGGGCGCGCAGGCGGCCGCUCAAGUCAGGCGUGAAAGCCCCGGGCUUAACCUGGGAACUGCGUCUGGGACUGAGAGGCUAGAGUUCGGGAGAGGAGAGUGGAAUUCCCAGUGUAGAGGUGAAAUUCGUAGAUAUUGGGAAGAACACCAGUGGCGAAGGCGGCUCACUGGCCCGAUACUGACGCUGAGGCACGAAAGCGUGGGGAGCAAACAGG